UUGUUGGUUUAAUUCCCACUGGGGCCACCUGUACAUGUAGUAGACCUAGAUAUAAAUGUCAUAGUUUAGUAUUUGAAGGUCCAGGACUGACUACUUUAUUCUUUUAUUCUGGGAACCCCUGUAGGUGCAGAUCAAACCCUAAUGCUGCGACGUCUUGGGAGUUUGGCGAUGUUGUGCGUAGCAUGGACGACAAAAUGCUAUGCUGCAACGUUUCAGUGCCAAUGUGUCUGUUGGAGAGUUAUCCCUGACAGGGGAUCUGUUACUCCCCCCUAGACACCCAGGAACAUUUGGCGUUGCUUGACAACAGUUUGAGGCAGGAUAAAGAGCUCCAGCAACGAUUUCUUCGGUUUUUGGCAAUCAAAUGUGGGAGGGACCUAAAGACAACCGUGUGGCGAAUGCUUCAGAGUAUCUUCUCUAAUCACCUUUCCAUCAAUACAACCUGGACUGGUGUAGGGGAUAAAGCAUGUUUUAGAGACAUGUUCCUGAAGACCAUUGUUCAAAGAGCCAUCCGGAAGAACCCGGCAACACAGGAUGCCACUGAUGAGGCGAUCCAGGUUAACGUUACGCGUUACCUGAAAGGAGCAUCUGAACAUGAAGGUGGAAAAAGGCGCCGCACAGCUGAGAGGGACCCACAGCCGACCCCUUAAACCUCGGCUGACUACUGACACC